rnacentral:rRNA from 1 species
GACGAACGCUGGCGGCGUGCCUAAUACAUGCAAGUCGAACGCAGUGGGGACGGGUGAGUACCACGUGGGUAACCUCCCGUCAGAGUAGAUAACCCUUGGAAACAGGUGCUAAACCGAUACUGAUGGAUGAACCAGCGGUGCAUUAGCUAGUUGGUGAGGUAACGGCUCAACAAGGCCACGAUGCAUAGCCGACCGGAGAGGGUGAUCGGCCACACUGGGACUGAGACACGGCCCAGACUCCUACGGGAGGCAGCAGUAGGGAAUCGUCGGCAAUGGACGAAAGUCUGACGGAGCAACGCCGCGUGAGUGAAGAAGGUUUUCGGAUCGUAAAACUCUGUUGUUAGAGAAGCGGUAUCUAACCAGAAAGCAACGGCUAACUACGUGCCAGCAGCCGCGGUAAUAC